rnacentral:tRNA from 1 species
UAGCUCAGUUGGUAGAGCAUGAGUCUCUCAACCUCAGGGUUGUGGGUUUGAGCCCCAC